UCUUUCAUGGUGUGAUCUGGGUGUUUAAUGUCAGCCAGUUAGUGAGUCAGUGAGGGCUUGUAGUUUGCAAGCAUAUGAAUGUCUUAUCGCACUGUGACUUUAGCCUUUUCCUCACUGUAUGAGAUUUCAUUCCACAUGGUUUCCAAUGGGAGAGUUUUCCUGGAUGUUCUGGUGAAGUAAUGAUUCCCCCCCCCCCCGGGGUUUUGGAUUAUUUUCAUAGCCUGGGUAUGGUCUGGAACCUACUGGUGAAAAUGGUAGUCAGAAGAAUGCAAAGUUGUUGGCAAGGGACCCGAGCAUUUAAAAAAGAAGAAGAUAUAAAUGGCACAAAAGUGGUAUUCAAGGAUAUACGCUUGGAUACACCAAUAUCGGGCAGCAGUGAUACAGGAAGAUGCUGAAAGGCAUCAUAUCAUUCUGCGUGGGAGGAAGCAAUGGUAAACCCCUCCUGUAUUCUAUCAAAGAAAACCACAGGGCUCUGUGGUCACCAGGAGUUGACACUGACUCAACGGCACACUUUACCUUUUACCUAUCAUGAGAACACUGAAAAGACUAGUUCACAGUGAAAUACAGGAGUUCUGUUCUGGUUGCCUGGACCUCUCAUUGGUUUCCUAAGCAGAGAGCUUCUAUAGCAAGUAAUGGCAAAUGUUUACCAUAAAUCUGUUUCAUCUUGAAUACACCAGAAUAUAAUGUGGAGCACUAGCACAUCCUCCAUUUCCAUAGUUAGAAGGAUGCAUCUAAUGGCAUUUGGGGGAGAUGCUUUUGCAGAGAGUGAGAGAGAGAUUCCUUUGUCCCUUUGACAGUUUUGCUAAGAAACAGUGUCCCCUCCACCACUACCAAAGUUGAGUAUGAAGAGUUAAAUAUAGGUGCACCAGCCAAGCACUCUUGUAUACAACCUUAUCAUGAUUUAUUACAUUUCUACCCUGCCAUUUGGUUCCUCAACCCCCCGCCCCGAGAAAACUGUCACAUACUAUUCCAAAACUUUGAUUUGUGUGCCUUUAAUAUAUAUAUAAAUUCCCACAUUUGAAGUUGGUAUGAACGUAUCAUAGGCUGCAUUCUCAUGUAACCUCACCCACCCCACCCUACCCCCACUGCUCUCCCUCUGAAUUUGGAUGUUCAGGAGAGCAGUCUCUCUGCAGACGUGGGAGAGCUGGCUGAGCAGGCUUCCUUCUUUACUGAAGAACAGCUUCCUCCCUCAACUCCGGUUCCAGGGACAGCAGCCUGUGGUUCCAAAUUCAGAUGUACUGUAGGCUGCCUGGGACCUCAGGUUGGAGUUCCAGUUCUGAAUCCUUGGUGCAUCACCGUGCUGAACUCCAGUUCCCCACAUUCAGACAUAAUGUCUGUGGAUCCGCAGACCUAUUCAAUUGCAGUUCUACAUUAUGUGCAAAUGCGGCCAUAGUAAAGAUGUAUACGUUCUUGCUACAUUUGCUUUGGCAUUCAACCUUUCACCACUGUUGUAUGGCUUGCUGGAUACUUAUAAUUAAUGAAUGCUUAUUUAAUAAUAUACCCAUGCCAGGUCUCUUCUAUUUCACUAACCACACCCAAGUCCUUAAGUAUCAUUUCCUUCUAUCCUAUCUAUAGCAAAUAUCUUGUAUAAUGUGCUAUAACCACAAAAGAGAAGUAUUGUCUCUGUAUGCAGCAUUGGUUUUCAGGAAGUGUAACAUCAGUUCUACUCUCUUUUUUUGUCCAGUGUAGCAUUAUUUAAUCCACAAUAGUGGUUUGACUAAUACUAAACUGAACUUCAUGUGGUAGGAUUGUCAGGCAAGUUGUCUAAACUCAUAUUUGCUUGUAAAAGAUCUAAUUUAUAUUUUCCUAAAUUGAUCCCCCCCUUCAGUUAUCAAUAUUGUUGUAGUCAAGGAGUUUUCAACAACAACAACAACAACAACAUGCUAAGGUAUUGUAUUUGGGAAGUUGUUGCCUUCAAAUUAAUCAGAAGGACAUCAUUCAUCAUGCAGUUUUCAAGUGAAGAACUGCUAACCUGAGGAGUCCAAAGACUGUUUUUAUAUUAUUGUUGUUGUUGUUAUUCAAUUUCUAUACCACCGUUCCAAAAAUGGCUCAGAGCGGUUUACGUAGAGAAAUAAUAAAUAAAUAAAUAAAUUUUCAUAUUAAGAAAAAUGAAUCCUUUAAUGGCUUCUCACCCCCCACCCGCCCCAGUGUCAUUUAUUAUUGAGUACAGAAAACUGUUUAAGCUUUU